GCAGGUCUAUACUACCCCUUAUGUGAUAUAACUUAUGUCACUCACUGGUGUGAAAAAGCCACCCAGGAGUGACACAAGUUAUCCUAUGCGCUGUCCACACUAGUGCUGUCAGUGUGGAAUGCUCUCUCGCCAACAUACAGCCUCUUCACCAGAUGUGCUGCAGCUGCGCCAAUGUAACACUUCUCAUGUAGACUAACCUCAAAACAAACCCCCCACAGCAACUCAAGAAGAACAGAAGUUGAGGUCCCAAAAGCACCAUCAACCUGAUUGUGUUGCACAUGUGAAGUGACCAGAACUGCAAGCAGGACUCAAGAUUCUGGAACACAAUUCCAUGAUCAUGGAAUCACAGAAGACACCAGAAUCCGAUAACGCUAAUUUGGACUGACCCACAAGUUACAGUUGGAAGACAGUUUUAAUAACAAAACAUUGACAUCUUACAAUUUUAAAAAUCUACAGAGGUAAACUAGAAAGCACGUAUACAUUAGUUACCUGAGGAAUUGUUGAACAGCUCCUAAAACUGCCAGUGGAGGUGGUACUUAAGGUUCUCAUUCUGUGUUCAUUGAUGUGAAUCAUACUUUCUUCGUCUCUACAAUAUAUAAAUUGGAUUUUUAUUUCAUCUGGCAAAAAGACAAGACAAAUAUCCUUUGGCUACAAUCCACCAUAUUCUAAUAAUUUUUAUCGAUACAGUCUAAAUUUCCAACACAAUGUAAUAUUUGCAUAACAAGGAAAAUUUACAUUUUGCAAUAUUAACUUGACUUCAAUGUGACGGGUGUUUUAUAACCUCUAAAGAUUUUCAGAUCUGAUUUGUAACAUGAUACAAUGACCAACAUUAAAUGCCAGAAAUGUUCUAAAAAACUAAGUGAUAGUGAUAUUUUAUAUUUAUGCUCAGUAAAUGAUCUUCAUUUCAAAUUUGCUAAGUUUACAUGUAAAAAAAUAA